rnacentral:rRNA from 1 species
GACGAACGCUGGCGGCGUGCUUAACACAUGCAAGUCGAACGGAAAGGCCCUGCUUUUGUGGGGUGCUCGAGUGGCGAACGGGUGAGUAACACGUGAGUAACCUGCCCUUGACUUUGGGAUAACUUCAGGAAACUGGGGCUAAUACCGGAUAGGAGCUCCUGCUGCAUGGUGGGGGUUGGAAAGUUUCGGCGGUUGGGGAUGGACUCGCGGCUUAUCAGCUUGUUGGUGGGGUAGUGGCUUACCAAGGCUUUGACGGGUAGCCGGCCUGAGAGGGUGACCGGCCACAUGGGGACUGAGAUACGGCCCAGGCUCCUACGGGAGGCAGCAGUGGGAAAUAUUGCACAAUGGGCGGAAGCCUGAUGCAGCAACGCCGCGUGCGGGAUGACGGCCUUCGGGUUGUAAACCGCUUUCGCCUGUGACGAGGCGUGAGUGACGGUAAUGGGUAAAGAAGCACCGGCUACUACGUG